UGCUGUUCUACACUUUUUGGGCAUCUAGCAGGCAGUCACAUAAAAUUCACAAUAUGUAUGCAUAAACUGAGGCCAUUCCCGGGCAUUAUUCGCAGGAAAUUCAACCUAAAGUUCGAGCAAUUUUCAAGCAGCAGCCAAAAUGUCUGACAAGCCCAAGUCCAUGCCCGUGAGCAACAAGAGCGUUCGGGGUGUCACCAAGGGGAACAAGACUGGGGUUAAGCCACAGCCGGUGGUACGUGCCCCCACAACGCGCACCAAUCAACAUGAUCGGAUUUGGAAGAUUAUGAAAAUGUAAGCGGGAUAGCUGUUGAGUCUCUUUCCUGAGGCAUUUCUGCUCGCAACAGCAAGACAUUUCCUCUGCAGAUUCAAUGCAAAACACAACAAUAAUUCGAACUCUAACAAUAGUUGGCACAGCUACCACACACUACCCACAAAAUGUUGACUUAACUUCAAGUCUGUUUCUUUUCCAUAUUAAAUUUAAAAUAAAACCCACCGCUUUGCUUGCGCUAAGCGCUGAAUAAAGCGAAAAAGUCCCAGCACAAAAAAAAGGUCUUAUAUUUCCCUGUUGGACCCACUGGAAAGCGGGCAAAGCGCAAGCGCUGCGCUU